rnacentral:rRNA from 1 species
UGGUGCCAGCAGCCGCGGUAAUUCCAGCUCCAAUAGCGCAUAUUAAAGUUGUUGCAGUUAAAAAGCUCGUAGUUGAAUUUCGGGAUUAGUACGUUGGUCGUGCCUUAGGUACGUACUGGUGUUACUGGUUCCUACCUUCUGACGAACCAUCAUGUCAUUAAUUUGGUGUGGCGGGGAAUCAGGACUGUUACUUUGAAAAAAUUAGAGUGUUUAAAGCAGGCUCGCGCUUGAAUACAUUAGCAUGGAAUAAUGAAAUAGGACGUUGACCCUAUUUUGUUGGUUUCUAGGAUUGACGUAAUGAUUAAUAGGGAUAGUUGGGGGCAUUAGUAUUCAAUUGUCAGAGGUGAAAUUCUUGGAUUUAUUGAAGACUAACUACUGCGAAAGCAUUUGCCAAGGAUGUUUUCAUUAAUCAGGAACGAAAGUUAGGGGAUCGAAGACGAUCAGAUACCGUCGUAGUCUUAACCAUAAACUAUGCCGACUAGGGA